rnacentral:SRP_RNA from 1 species
GCCGGGUGUGGUGGCUCACGCCUGUAAUCCCAGCACUUUGGGAGGCUGAGGCAGGUGGAUCACCUGAGGUCAGGAGUUCGAGACAAGCCUGGCCAACAUGGUGAAACCCUGUCUCUA